CUUAUCAAGAGUGGCAGAGGGAACCGGCCCAGUGAAGCCCGGCAACCGCGGAAAGCGGCGGUGCCAAGUCCGGCGGGGAGACCCGGAAGAUGAGA
rnacentral:ncRNA from 1 species